UGUCAAGGGAUGGGAAUCGAACCCACGACCUUCCGCUUACCGGGCAGAUGCCAUGACCAUUAGGCUACCCUGGAC
rnacentral:tRNA from 1 species